rnacentral:rRNA from 1 species
UAGGGAAUCUUCCACAAUGGACGCAAGUCUGAUGGAGCAACGCCGCGUGAGUGAAGAAGGCUUUCGGGUCGUAAAACUCUGUUAUUGAAGAAGAACGUGCGUGACAGUAACUGGUCAUGCAGUGACGGUAUUCAAUCAGAAAGUCACGGCUAACUACGUGCCAGCAGCCGCGGUAAUACGUAGGUGGCAAGCGUUGUCCGGAUUUAUUGGGCGUAAAGCGAGUGCAGGCGGUCUUUUAAGUCUGAUGUGAAAGCCUUCGGCUUAACCGAAGAAGGGCAUCGGAAACUGGGAGACUUGAGUGCAGAAGAGGAGAGUGGAACUCCAUGUGUAGCGGUGAAAUGCGUAGAUAUAUGGAAGAACACCAGUGGCGAAGGCGGCUCUCUGGUCUGUAACUGACGCUGAGGCUCGAAAGCGUGGGUAGCAAACAGGAUUAGAUACCCUGGUAGUCCACGCCGUAACGAUGAAUACUAAGUGUUGG